rnacentral:rRNA from 1 species
UACGGGGGGUGCGAGCGUUGUCCGGAAUCACUGGGCGUAAAGGGCGCGUAGGUGGUUUGAUAAGGGUGUGGUGAAAGUCCGGGGCUCAACUCCGGAUCUGCCGUGCCGACUGUCAAACUCGAGGGCUGUAGAGGCAGACGGAAUUCCGGGUGUAGCGGUGAAAUGCGCAGAUAUCGGGAGGAACACCAAUUGCGAAGGCAGCUCGCUGGGACGUUACUGACGCUGAGACGCGAAAGCGUGGGGAGCAAACAGG